AUAAAUCGGUGAAAAUCAGCCGCGUAUCGGCCGAUACGAUACACGUAAAAAACCCGAAUAUCGGCCGAUAAUAUCGGCCGACCGAUAUAUCGGUCGAUCCCUAGACCUAACCAUCCUGGCCAAGUCCCUCCUGCUCUCCGCUAUGCAGCCUGCAUACCACACACUGCAGCCCUGGCAGAGGAUGCUCUCAAUUGUGCUCCUAUAAGAGUUAAUGAGCAGGUGUGAGGAUAAACCAGCCUGUUUGAGCUUCAGUAGAAAGAAGAGCCUCUUCUGGGCCCUCUUUACAAGGUUGGAGAUGUUAGUAGCCCAUGUUACCCUCUCCACUUCUUCCCCGUUGAUGGUAAGUGGGGUCUGCGUGAUGAGUCCACAAGUCCACAAGGAUCUCAUUUGUCUUGGUGGUGUUCAGGACCAGGUUGUUAUCCACACACCACUCUGCCAUGCGUUGGACCUCCUGCCUGUAAUGGCCCUCAUUGUUGUCACUAAUGAGCCCCACCACAGUGGAGUCAUCAGCUCAUUUGAUUAUGGUGUUGGAUGACUGGAUGGGUACGCAGUCAUUGAUGAAGAGGGUUUAUAGGGCUGGGCUGAGUACACACCCCUGGGGCGCACCGGAGGUCAAGGUUAUAGUUGAGGAUGUCAGGUCCCCUACUCUGACAUUCUGCGGUCUGUUUGAAACAAAGUCCAGGAUCCAUGAGCAGAGUGAGGUGGGGAAACCAAGAUGAAUGAGUUUGAGGACCAGUUUAUGGGGGAUUGUGGUGUUGAAGGCAGAGCUGAAGUCCACAAAGAGCAUCCUUACAUAUGUGUUGGGGUACUCCAGGGGGGACAGGGCUGUGUGGAGUGUGAUGGAGACAGCGUCCUCUGGGGAUCUGUUUGCCUGAUGGGCAAACUGGUGGCUGUCCAGGUCCACAGGGAGGCAGUCUCUGAUGUACGCCAGUAUCAUCCGCUCAAAGCACCUCAUGAUUACUGGGGUGAGGGUGACUGGGCGGUAUUCAUUGAGGCAGGUAAUGGCAGAUUCUUUGGGGAUAGGGACGAUGGUAGUGGUCUUAAGGCAGGUGUGAACUGCAGCUUGUUGCAGAGAGAGGGUGAAGAUGUCUGUAGAAGCUCCUGCUAACUGGUCGGCACAUGACCUCAGUAUACGGCCCGACACCCCAUCAGGGCCAGUAGCCUUGUUGGGGUCAAUCCUUCUCAUGGUGGACCUCACCUGGUGGUGCUGAAGAGUGUGUGUCUGCUCCUCUUCCUUGCUAACAAGUGUGGUCUUUUAUAUUUGUAGUCAGAUAUAGUUUUGAUUCCUCACCACAUGCUCCGUGGGUCCUUGUUUUCAAAGUGACCCUCAAUGCGCUGUCUCUACUUGCCUUUGACCUCUUUAAAGGGGACCUAUCAUAUCACCAGGUGUGAGUGUGAUUAGCCAUUACCAGCCGUUUUCAAAAUGUGCAGCAUUGUGUCAUCACAGGUGGGCGUGUCCACCUAGGUGUGUGACAGACAGAUGAGCAAUGUUUGCUUCAGUCCACUGGGUAGGCUGGUAGACUGAUCUAUCCAGCACACAUCUAGGUGGACACGCCCGCCUGUGAUGUCCCAAUGCUGCAUAUUUUCACACCUGCUUGUAACGGCUAAUCACACUCACACCUGGUGGUGUGAUAUGUCCCCUUUAAGGCCCUUUUUUAGGUCUUGUCGGGCAGUUCUAUAGGCCAGCCUGUCCCCCGACCUGAAGGGAGUAUCUCUCGCCCUGAGCAGCGACCUCACAUUACCGUCAAACCAGGGUUUCUGAUUAGGGAACCCCUUGAUGGUUCUGGUGAGCAGUACUGUCUCGGUGCAAAACUGAAUGUAGUCCAGGACGUUAGAGGUGUACUCCUCACAGUUGGCUCCCUGAGUAAAUACCUCCCAUACUGAGCUCUAAAAACAGACCUGUAGUGAUGUAACAGCUUCCUCACUCCAUACCUGUACUGUCUUCACAGCUGGUUUGGUUCUACAGCAACUGGUUUAUAAGAUGGAAUCAGCGUCAAGGAGAUAUGAUCUGAUAAUCCGAGGUGUGGGGAUGGUGCAGCUUCAUAUGCCCUGUGUAUAUUUGGAUAUACUUGGUCCAAAAGUGAAAACACUGGAACUGGAUUUGGAGUUCAAUGAACAGAAAUAUAGAACAAGUCUGGAGAUGACACAGAUAUGGAAGGAGAAGUCAAAUGGUAAGUUCUUAUUCCACAUGCUUUACUUUGUGAAUGAGUAAUCAGGGCUCCUCAACCUUUUUAUUACUGAGGCUCGGUAUGCAUAUUUAUAUGGGGGGUUAGGGUUAGGCUGAAUACAGUUACACCCCUUGGCCCAAACCCUUAACCCUACCCCUACCCCUUAACCCUACCCCUCAACCCUACCCCUAGCCCUUAACCCUACCCCUCAACCCUACCCCUACAAAAUGGGACAACAACCCUUCAAGACCCGGUUACAGUACGUCAUUAGUAGUCGUUGACAGGGUUUUGAUCUUUAUAUUAAUUUAAUUUUUUUGAUCUUUUGAUACAAUAUCUGUCUCUAGAAUUUUACUGUAUAGUUUGAUUGUCUUAGGAAUGCAACCUUACCAUCAUGGAAAAAGACGGUAUGAUUAGAUAAGAAUAUUUUUCAUGUUCACAAUCUGUUCGAAUCUGCAAUAUUGCACUUUAUGAUGAAUCAGACAUUAUAGAAGAUCAACAUAAUAUGUCAAACCAGAAUAAACAUAUUAACUACCA